rnacentral:rRNA from 1 species
GACGAACGCUGGCGGCGUGCUUAACACAUGCAAGUCGUACGGUAAGGCCCUUUCGGGGGUACACGAGUGGCGAACGGGUGAGUAACACGUGAGUAACCUGCCCACAACUUUGGGAUAACGCUAGGACACUGGUGCUAAUACUGGAUAUGUGCUCCUGCUGCAUGGUGGGGGUUGGAAAGCUCCGGCGGUUGUGGAUGGACUCGCGGCCUAUCAGCUUGUUGGUGGGGUAGUGGCCUACCAAGGCGGCGACGGGUAGCCGGCCUGAGAGGGUGACCGGCCACAUUGGGACUGAGAUACGGCCCAGACUCCUACGGGAGGCAGCAGUGGGGAAUAUUGCACAAUGGGCGCAAGCCUGAUGCAGCAACGCCGCGUGCGGGAUGACGGCCUUCGGGUUGUAAACCGCUUUCAGCAGGGACGAAGCUUUUUGUGACGGUACCUGCAGAAGAAGCACCGGCUAACUACGUG